rnacentral:lncRNA from 1 species
AUUUUAAUAAUACUCUUGAUAAUAAAACACAAGGAUUAAACAAAAAUAGUGACAUAAUUAAUAAUGAACUCGAUGCAAAUUUCUUUAAAAAAUAUCUUAACGAUAAGACAUUUGUUGGUAUGGCUGAAAAACAAAACGAGGACAUGCUAAAACGUAUAUUAUUAAAGGAUCUUGCCGCAUCAAGAGAUACUAUAUCUACUAAUAGCAAUAGAAAUAUUAUUAUCAAUAGAAAUAUUAAUGUCAAUAGAUAUAGUAAUAACACUGGAAGUAGUAAUAACAUUGGAAGUAGCAGUAGCAAUAGAAAUAGUAUUAGUAUAGAUAACUACAGUGAUAACAAUAGUAAUAAAUAUCUUAACGCCAGUCCUUUCAUACAUUUUGGUAGAGCGCACAAAUCUACUGGGUUCGAAAUAAAAAACGAGUUGAAUAAACAUGAGGUAACAAGAAAUACAUUUGGUCAGGAUAACUAUACUAUUCAUAGUAUGGAUCGUAAUAUAAUGAAUUAUAAGAAUAUGGUUGAUAGUAGAAAUAAAAAUAAUAAUGAUUGGGUUAUACCUAAUAGUAAUAAUAGUAUUAUGAAUAGUUGGCCCAAUAACAGAAUACCUAAUACAUCAAACGAAACAAAUGUAUUCAAAAAUACAUUAACACAUAACAAUAUUAUAUUUAAUAAUACUAUGGAUAAUAAUUUUAAACAACAUACAACAAACAAUCAGUUACCUGUAAGUCACGAUCACAAUUUGUUUAUUGAUAACAAAAACGAGAAAAAAAAAUAUCAAGAUGAACAUCAUCCUGAACAGUAUAACCGAGGAGGAGGAGGAGGAGUAGGAGUAGGAGGAGUAGGUACAGGAAUGCAUCGUACUGAACAACAUACGUGGAAUACCUCAAGUGAAUUUAUAAAACGCUCUAAUUUUUAUUCGGACAUUGGAAAACGUAAUUACAACAUGGGAAGUAACAAUAACAGAAGUAAUGAAAAUAACACAAACGAUUCACCCAAGGGUAAUUAAUUGUAGUUACUUCAGAAAACAUAGAGCAAUAACAACUUAAGUUUAAUUCGAACAUAUUGUCUGAGGUAGAUAUACGUUGAAAAAAAAAAAAAAAAAAAAAAAAAAACAGUAUAGCAUCAUAACAUCAUAACACUGUGUGAGUAUAUUAAACCCCGAUUAAAACGUAUUUUUUUUUUUUUUUUUUUUUUUUUUUCGUUAGUUUAUAACUAAAAAUAUGUACAUAUACCGUGUGAAAGCUUAUUAAGUGCUGUUAAAAAGUGACACGUGUGUAUAAGCAGCUAUGAAACUAGGCGGAUAAACA